GAUGAACGCUGGCGGCGUGCCUAAUACAUGCAAGUCGAGCGAACAGACGAGGAGCUUGCUCCUCUGACGUUAGCGGCGGACGGGUGAGUAACACGUGGAUAACCUACCUAUAAGACUGGGAUAACUUCGGGAAACCAGCUAAUACCGGAUAAUAUAUUGAACCGCAUGGUUCAAUAGUGAAAGACGGUUUUGCUGUCACUUAUAGAUGGAUCCGCGCCGCAUUAGCUAGUUGGUAAGGUAACGGCUUACCAAGGCAACGAUGCGUAGCCGACCUGAGAGGGUGAUCGGCCACACUGGAACUGAGACACGGUCCAGACUCCUACGGGAGGCAGCAGUAGGGAAUCUUCCGCAAUGGGCGAAAGCCUGACGGAGCAACGCCGCGUGAGUGAUGAAGGUCUUCGGAUCGUAAAACUCUGUUAUUAGGGAAGAACAAAUGUGUAAGUAACUAUGCACGUCUUGACGGUACCUAAUCAGAAAGCCACGGCUAACUACGUG
rnacentral:rRNA from 1 species